UACGGAGGAUCCAAGCGUUAUCCGGAUUUAUUGGGUUUAAAGGGUGCGUAGGCGGCCUAUUAAGUCAGGGUGAAAGACGGUAGCUUAACUAUCGCAGUGCCUUUGAUACUGAUGGGCUUGAAUGGACUAGAGGUAGGCGGAAUGUGACAAGUAGCGGUGAAAUGCAUAGAUAUGUCACAGAACACCAAUUGCGAAGGCAGCUUACUAUGGUUUAAUUGACGCUGAGGCACGAAAGCGUGGGGAUCAAACAGG
rnacentral:rRNA from 1 species